GGGCGCUUGGGACGGCACCCCCAAAUCCCCCGCCACUGAUGCCCGGCUCUGCAGCUGCAGAAAAGAGGCGCCAGCGUGCUCGGUGCCACGUCGGAAUUGGCUCCUGGGACGCUGCAGCUGCCUGCGCGACCUCGUGGUCCCCACGCACGCCCUGCCCCCGGGCGGCCCGCGAGCCGCGGAGGAGCCAAGAGCAGGGAUGCGCGCCCUCCCUCCCGCUCGGGUCUUCAAGGGCAGGGACCCCUGGCCACAGUAAGGCUUCCGGAGCUGGGCUGAGCCGGGACAGACCCAGCUGACACUUUAAUGGGGUGCAAGGAGUGCAAAGAAGGGGAGGCCAGGGAAAGAAGAGGAGUGGCGGAGCGAGGCCGGUAGCUGCAAGGAGGUGGCGAAGGACCCUCCUUCCCUGGGGCCGGAGUUGGGACCCCGGAUCGCCUUAACCCUUUGCAUUCCAAUGGAAAUUCUUGUCUCCCAACGCGUGAGCCUCUCUGCAGCUCCGGAAGAUGUGGGAUGGAAAAGUACAUCCCGGGCCGGGCAGCCUUUCCCAGGCAAAGAAGUUACCUGUGUUCCCAGAAAGGCAACGGAUUUCUGGCGAGCGCGCAGGGCUGGGAGAAGACAGCGGCUAUGUUGCUAAGGCUGACAGCGAUGUGAAAUGUCGUCUGGUUUUCAGGGUGAUGGAAAUUUUCAGACCUCAAACUUUUCUGUCGAAAGCUGACUUAAAUGUUUUUAACACUUAUGUGAAUAAUGUCCUCCCUGUCCCUGGCCUGUUCGAGGACCCUCAGCGUUCACCGAAUCGCGCCAGUGCAACGUACCUUGUUCAGUUCUUGGUCAUAAAGUUGUCCUCAGCCUGUCUGUGUGGUCCCGGAGGGUCGGUGGCGGGCAGUUUCCAAAACUGAGGUAAUAGGAGAUCAGAUGAAUUUGAGGCGACCGGCCAAAAAAAAUAAAAAAUUUAAAAACAACAUUUAAAAUGAAUAGGGGAAUCUUAAAUCUUUAGGUUCCCCCCAAUUAAAAAAAAAAAUCACUGGUAUGUUUUCUUAAUAUUUCCGUUGCACUUCAAUCUUCUAACUCUUAAAAGAAAAUUUUGUCUGUGCUUUAAAAAUAAAUGAACUUUAUUUUUUGCUCUUGUU
rnacentral:lncRNA from 1 species